rnacentral:rRNA from 1 species
UAUUAUUUUGGAUUUAAAUUUUUAACUUGAGUAGUAUUAGUUAUGAUCUUGAAACUUAAAGAAUUUGGCGGUAUUUUAGUCUGUUUAGAGGAAUCUGUCCCAUUAUCGAUAAUCCGCGUUGGACCUUACUUAAUUUUAUAAUAUGUAUACCGCCGUUUAGUUGAAAAUCUUAAUAGGGUAAAUUUUCUGAAUAUCUUAAUUUAUUGUAUUUCAGGUCAAGGUGCAGUUUUUAUAAUUAAGAGGAGAUGGAUUACAAUAUAUUUAUAUACGGAAUAUAAUUUGUAAUAGUUUAUAUAAAGGUGGAUUUAAUAGUAAUUUUAAUAAGAUUAUUAGGAUAAUUUAAGCUCUAGAAUGUGUACACAUCGCCCGUCGCUCUCGUAAAUUAAUGUGAG